rnacentral:rRNA from 1 species
GUGGGGAAUUUUGGACAAUGGGCGCAAGCCUGAUCCAGCAAUGCCGCGUGCAGGAAGAAGGCCUUCGGGUUGUAAACUGCUUUUGUACGGAACGAAACGGCUCUGGUUAAUACCCGGGGCUAAUGACGGUACCGUAAGAAUAAGCACCGACUAACUACGUGCCAGCAGCCGCGGUAAUACGUAGGGUGCAAGCGUUAAUCGGAAUUACUGGGCGUAAAGCGUGCGCAGGCGGUUUUGUAAGACAGGCGUGAAAUCCCCGGGCUCAACCUGGGAAUUGCGCUUGGGACUGCAAGGCUGGAGUGCGGCAGAGGGGGAUGGAAUUCCGCGUGGAGCAGUGAAAUGCGUAGAUAUGCGGAGGAACACCGAUGGCGAAGGCAAUCCCCUGGGCCUGCACUGACGCUCAUGCACGAAAGCGUGGGGAGCAAACAGGAUUAGAUACCCGGGUAGUCC